UAAAUAGACCAGCCGGCUUUGGCUAGCUGCUGUCUUCUUAGAGGGACUAUCAGCGUUUAGCUGAUGGAAGUUUGAGGCAAUAACAGGUCUGUGAUGCCCUUAGAUGUUCUG
rnacentral:rRNA from 1 species